GUUAAUGUAUACCACAAAACCAAACAAACUCCAAUUCCGACAACUGCUAAAAUAUGUCUUCUUCUUCCUCUCAUUCUUCAUCAAAUUUUCCUUUGAAGCCAGUCCCAGGUAGCUAUGGCCUCCCUUUCUUCGGUGCUAUCAGAGAUCGUCUAGAUUACUUCUAUAACCAAGGCAGAGAUGAGUUCUUUGCUACCCGAAUUCAGAAAUACCAUUCAACCAUUAUCAAAAUCAAUAUGCCUCCUGGUCCCUUCAUUGCUCAAAACUCUAGAGUCAUAGCUCUCCUUGAUGCAGUCUCAUUUCCAGUUCUCUUCGACACUUCUAAAGUAGAAAAAAGGAACGUUCUUGAUGGAACUUUCUUCCCUUCAGUUUCUUUCACUGGAGGCUACCGUGUCUGUGCAUAUCUUGACCCUUCUGAGCGCAACCAUACCUCGCUCAAAACCUUCUUCCUCUCUAUCCUCGCUUCAAAGCACAGCACCUUCAUUCCGC
rnacentral:misc_RNA from 1 species